ACUCUCGGUGGCACGCGCCUGUAGUCCCAGCUACUUGGGAGGCUGAGACAGGAGGACCACUUGAGUCCAGGAGUUCAGGGAUGUAGUGCACUAUAUCGAUUGGGUGUCCNCACUAAGUUCAGCAUCAUUAUGGUGACCUCCCAGAAGCAGGGGACCACUAGGAUACCUAAGGACAGGUGAACCAGCCCAGGUUGGAAACGGAGCAGGUCAAAACUCCCAUGCUGAUCAGUAGUGGGAUCGCGCUNGUGAAUAGCCACUGCNCUCCAGUCUGGGCAACAUAGUGAGACACUGUCUUUA
rnacentral:SRP_RNA from 1 species